UACGUAGGGUGCGAGCGUUGUCCGGAAUUAUUGGGCGUAAAGGGCUCGUAGGCGGUUUGUCGCGUCGGGAGUGAAAACACUGGGCUUAACUCAGUGCUUGCUUCCGAUACGGGCAGACUAGAGGUAUUCAGGGGAGAACGGAAUUCCUGGUGUAGCGGUGAAAUGCGCAGAUAUCAGGAGGAACACCGGUGGCGAAGGCGGUCCUCUGGGAAUGUCCUGACGCUGAGGAGCGAAAGUGUGGGGAUCAAACAGG
rnacentral:rRNA from 1 species